rnacentral:rRNA from 1 species
GACGUAGGGCGCGAGCGUUGUCCGGAUUUAUUGGGCGUAAAGAGCUCGUAGGCGGCUUGUCGCGUCGAAUGUGAAAACUCGGGGCUCAACUCCGAGAUUGCAUUCGAUACGGGCAGGCUAGAGUUCGGUAGGGGAGACUGGAAUUCCUGGUGUAGCGGUGAAAUGACGCAGAUAUCAGGAGGAACACCGGUGGCGAAGGCGGGUCUCUGGGCCGAUAUCGACGCUGAGGAGCGAAAGCGUGGGGAGCGAACAGG